AUACCGCAUAAUGUCUACGGACCAAAGGGGGCUUCGGCUCUCGCCUUUAGAUUGGCCCAAGUGGGAUUAGCUAGUUGGUGAGGUAAUGGCUCACCAAGGCGACGAUCCCUAGCUGGUUUGAGAGGAUGAUCAGCCACACUGGAACUGAGACACGGUCCAGACUCCUACGGGAGGCAGCAGUGGGGAAUAUUGCACAAUGGGCGCAAGCCUGAUGCAGCCAUGCCGCGUGUGUGAAGAAGGCCUUCGGGUUGUAAAGCACUUUCAGUUGUGAGGAAAGGUUAGUAGUUAAUACCUGCUAGCUGUGACGUUAGCAACAGAAGAAGCACCGGCUAACUCCGUGCCAGCAGCCGCGGUAAUACGGAGGGUGCGAGCGUUAAUCGGAAUUACUGGGCGUAAAGCGUACGCAGGCGGUUUGUUAAGCGAGAUGUGAAAGCCCCGGGCUCAACCUGGGAACUGCAUUUCGAACUGGCAAACUAGAGUGUGAUAGAGGGUGGUAGAAUUUCAGGUGUAGCGGUGAAAUGCGUAGAGAUCUGAAGGAAUACCGAUGGCGAAGGCAGCCACCUGGGUCAACACUGACGCUCAUGUACGAAAGCGUGGGGAGCAAACGGGAUUAGAUACCCCGGUAGUCCACGCCGUAAACGAUGUCUACUAGGAGUUCGGUUUUUCGGAACUGUCUUCCAAAGCUAACGCAUUAAGUAGA
rnacentral:rRNA from 1 species